rnacentral:rRNA from 1 species
GAACGCUGGCGGCGUGCUUAACACAUGCAAGUCGAACGAGAAAGUGGACUUCGGUCCGCGAGUAAAGUGGCGCACGGGUGAGUAACGCGUGAAUAAUCUAACCCCUGAAUUUGGGGAUAACAGUUCGAAAGGGCUGCUAAUACCGGAUAAUAUUGUCUUUUUUUACGGAUUUAGACAAUCAAAGAGGGCCUCUCCUUGGAAGCUUUUGUUUGGGGAUGAGUUCGCGUCCCAUUAGUUAGUUGGUGAGGUAACGGCUCACCAAGACAUCGAUGGGUAGCUGGUCUGAGAGGAUGAUCAGCCACACUGGAACUGACACACGGUCCAGACUCCUACGGGAGGCAGCAGUGAGGAAUUUUGCGCAAUGGGCGAAAGCCUGACGCAGCAACGCCGCGUGAGUGAUGAAGGCUCUUGGGUCGUAAAGCUCUGUCAAGUGGGAAGAAACCUCUUGGAGUUAAUACCUUCAAGACUUGACGGUACCACUGAAGGAAGCACCGGCUAACUCCGUG